CCGAUCCCCGCUCCCUCCCCGCUCCGUCUCUGCUCCCUCCCCGCUCCCGGCCCCGCUCCGCGCCCCCCGCCCGGCUCCAUCUUGUUCGCGGCCGCCGCGGAGCCGCUCCAGCCCCCAGCGUGCUGUGAUGGCCCCGGACGCCUGAGCCCCUGUGGCAGGGACAAGACAUGGAGACCGUUGUCAUCGUGGCCAUCGGGGUGCUGGCCACCAUCUUCCUGGCGUCCUUCGUGGCGCUGGUGGUGGUGUGCAGGCAGCGCUACUGUCACCCCAAGGACCUGCGCCACCACUACGACACCAAACCCAUCGUGGACCUGAUGGGGACCACGGAGACGCCAUCAGAGCCCUCGGAGCUGGAGCUGGACGAUGUGGUCAUCACCAACCCCCACAUAGAGGCCAUCCUGGAGAACGAGGACUGGGUCGAGGACGCCUCGGGUCUGGUGUCCCACUGCAUCGCCAUCCUGAAGAUCUGUCACACACUGACGGAGAAGUUGGUGGCCAUGACCAUGGGCUCGGGUGCACGAGUGAAGUCCCCAGCCAGCCUGGGUGACAUCAUCGUGGUGGCCAAGCGCAUCAGCCCCAGGGUGGACGACGUGGUGAGAUCCAUGUAUCCCCCGCUGGACCCCAAACUGCUGGAUGCGAGGGCCGCGGCGCUGCUGCUGUCCGUCAGUCACCUGGUGCUGGUGACCCGCAGCGCCUGUCGCCAGCCGGCCGCUCGCCACUGGGUCGAGCGCUCGCUGGCGGCCGCCGAGGAGCACAUGGCCGUGCUGCGCCAGGCCGCCAUGGCCACCGAGCCCGAGCGGCCACCGGCCCCCGGAGAGCCACCCCGCCAGGAGCAGUCGGCCAUCUGACCCCAGUGAAGGCCAUCAGACCCCAAUAAAGGCCAUCUAUCCCCAAAAAAGGCCAUUGGACCCCAAUAAAGGCCAUUGGACCCCAAUAAAGGCCAUCUGUCCCCAGUAAAGGCCAUCUGUCCCAGUAAAGGCUAUGAGACCCCAAUACAGGCCACCUGACCCCAAUACAGGCCAUCUGACCCCAAUAAAGGCCGUCGAACCCCAAUAAAGGCCCCAUGUGCCCCCAACCCCACAAGGUUGCUCUGGGA